UACGUAGGGCGCAAGCGUUAUCCGGAAUUAUUGGGCGUAAAGAGCUCGUAGGCGGUUUGUCGCGUCUGCCGUGAAAGUCCGGGGCUCAACUCCGGAUCUGCGGUGGGUACGGGCAGACUAGAGUGAUGUAGGGGAGACUGGAAUUCCUGGUGUAGCGGUGAAAUGCGCAGAUAUCAGGAGGAACACCGGUGGCGAAGGCGGAUCUCUGGGCCUUACCUGACGCUCAGGCGCGAAAGCUAGGGGAGCGAACAGG
rnacentral:rRNA from 1 species